GUGCCUGCCGGUGCCGUUUGAUGCUGAAAGAGAUACCACAUCUGCAAUGUGAGUCCCUCCUCUUCUCUGCCAAGGCAUGUCCUCACUAGGGCUGUUCCCCCUGAUGCAGAAAAGACAUACCGCAUACCUCAAGAUGCCUUUAUGGGCCAUUGGCCCCUGGCCUGUCUUCUCUGGGAAUAUUGUGUCUGGAUGGGUGUCAUUGACCUAGCCCUGGUUUGUGAGUGCUAGAAAGGAGGAAGGGAAGAUGAGGAGAAGGAGAAUGGAGAACACACACCUAAGAGUUUUUCCUUCAAAUUGGAAUAAGCUCCAGGGGCCCACCCGCUGCUAUCAUUAUGAUGUCACAGAAAGGAACAGCCAGAGCAGGGGGAAGAAAUUCAUGAAGUCAUCUGGCCCAAAGCCCUCUUCGAUCUUCCAUACCACCAGGAUGGCAGAGGUUGGUGCAUGUUUCUGACAACUGAGCUCUUGAAUACCCGAGACCACACAGCAGCAACACUGGGGGACGAACUCACUGAGCUGGUGCCCAGCUGCUCAUCUGGGAAGUUCUACCGGGUUCUCACUUGUAAUCAGCAAACCAGACUCCUCACCUUAGAGACUAUCAGACCAAGCUUCUCUUGGGAUCCUUGAAGAUGGCUGGACGUUGCAAGCGACGCUAUACGGAGAAAUCGCAUCCCAGAGUGACAACGGAGGUUUCCCUGGGAUGUGUUUUGUGCUGUUUGAGCAGGAGUGAAAGCAUGUGACUUUUUAAAGGGAAACCUCAGGAAGGGAGAGUGGAAGUGGAGACAUUGCCAUAAUGAUCAGAAGGCACCCUCAGUGGAUUUGGAGAGUCUUCCUGAAGCCUCUGCUGGGAGGGGAGAGGGAGAAGCCACCGUGGGCUUGUGUGACUUUGGACACCGUGUUCGAAGGGAAGCCGUGUGACCCUUUCCCACUCACUCCAGCCCAGCCUCACGGCAUCCAGCAGCCACCACUCGCCUCCUGAUUGCCGUACCUUUCUGCAGCCUGGAGAUUUGCAUUGUAAAUGCUGUUUGCUAGGCCCCUGAAAUAAUAUUAAUCACCGUAAAACAAUUACGUUGCAUAAUUUGUACAUAAAAAAGAAAGAGUGAACCUUU